rnacentral:rRNA from 1 species
GUGCCAGCAGCGGCGGUAAUACGUAGGGUCCGAGCGUUGUCCGGAAUUAUUGGGCGUAAAGGGCUCGUAGGCGGUUUGUCGCGUCGGGAGUGAAAUCCACUAGCUUAACUGGUGGCUUGCUUUCGAUACGGGCAGACUAGAGGUAUGCAGGGGGAGAAUGGAAUUCCUGGGUGUAGCGGUGAAAUGCGCAGAUAUCAGGAGGAACACCGGUGGCGAAGGCGGUUCUCUGGGCAUUACCUGACGCUGAGGAGCGAAAGUGUGGGGAGCGAACAGGAUUAGAUACCCUGGUAGUCCACACCGUAAACGUUGGGCGCUAGGUGUGGGAUCCUUUCCACGGGUUCCGUGCCGUAGCUAACGCAUUAAGCGCCCCGCCUGGGGAGUACGGCCGCAAGGCUAAAACUCAAAGGAAUUGACGGGGCCCGCACAAGCGGCGGAGCAUGCGGAUUAAUUCGAUGCAACGCGAAGAACCUUACCUGGGUUUGACAUACACGGAAGCCUGCAGAGAUGUGGGUCUCUUUGAUACUCGUGUACAGGU